rnacentral:rRNA from 1 species
GCUCAAAAUCUAGCCUAACAAUAUCAUAUACAAAUUCUUUACAAAUUCAACUUUAACAAAACAUUUUCUCAUUCUAGUAGAUGCGAUCAAAAAAAUUCUUAGCGCUUCAGAUUAAGUACCGCAAGGGAAAGAUGAAAUAACAAUGAAACAAUAUAAAAACACCUAAUAGCAGAGCCUAAUCCUCGUACCUUUUGCAUCAUGGUCUAGCCAGUCUAAUUAAGCAAAACGAACUUAAAGUUUAACCCCCCGAAACUAAGUGAGCUACUUCGAAACAGCUAUAAGAGCCAACCCAUCUCUGUUGCAAUAGAGUGGGACGAUUUCCAAGUAGAGGCGACAAACCUACCGCACUUAGAGAUAGCUGGUUACUCAAGAAAAGAAUUUAAGUUCAACCUUAAGUUUACUUUUUAUUAACUAAAAUUAUAUAAAACUUAAGAGUUAUUCAAAUAAGGCACAGCUUAUUUGAAACAGGACACAACCUACAUCAUAGGGUAAUAUAAAAAUAAAAAUAACUAGUGGGCCUAAAAGCAGCCAUCUUAAAUAAAAGCGUUAAAGCUUAGUACUUUCUUUUUCUAAUUCCUUACACUAUUUAAAACCCUUCCACAGUAUUGAGUAAUUUCAUAAAAAUAUGAAAAAUAUUAUGCUAGAACUAGUAACAAGAAAUAGACUUUCUCCAAAAUGUAAGCCUAAGCCACAUUAGACAAACUAAUGGCAAUUAACGUAAAUGAGCCAACUUUAACAACCCCUACCUAGAAAACACUACAAACUCAAACGUUAAUCUUACACCAGAACAUUAAUGGAAAGAUUAAAAGAAAAAGAAGGAACUCGGCAAAUCUUAACCCCGCCUGUUUACCAAAAACAUCGCCUCUUGAAAAUAUAAGAGGUCCAGCCUGCCCAGUGACAACAUUUAACGGCCGCGGUACCCUAACCGUGCGAAGGUAGCAUAAUCACUUGUUCUUUAAAUGAGGACUUGUAUCAAUGGCAUCACGAAGGUUAUACUGUCUCCUUUCUCUAAUCAGUGAAACUGAUCUCUCCGUGAAGAAGCGGGGAUUUUUUUAUAAGACGAGAAGACCCCAUGGAGCUUUAAACCCAAUUGUACUCCUAUUUUUUAUAACCUCUUAAACCAUGGAAUCUACACACUUGGUUUUAGGUUGGGGUGACCACGGAGCUUAAUUUAGCCUCCAUGAUGAACGGGACUAUCCCCUUAUCUAAGAGCAACAUCUCUAAGAACUAGUAUUCUAACAUAAAAUGAUCCGUCAAUCGAUCAACGAACCAAGUUACCCUGGGGAUAACAGCGCAAUCCACUUCAAGAGCUCCUAUCGACAAGUGGGUUUACGACCUCGAUGUUGGAUCAGGGUAUCCUAGUGGUGCAGCAGCUACUAAAGGUUCGUUUGUUCAACGAUUAAAACCCUACGUGAUCUGAGUUCAGACCGGAGCAAUCCAGGUCGGUUUCUAUCUAUAAAGAGUUGUUCCUAGUACGAAAGGAGCGAAACAACAUGGCCUAUGCCAAAACAAGCCAUCAAAUUUUUAUCAAUGAACCUAACUCAAUUGUUUACAACCUAAAACUAUUCCCCAAACCAGGGC